rnacentral:rRNA from 1 species
UAGCCUUGACAUUGAUUGAAUCCCGCAGAGAUGUAGGAGUGCCCUUCGGGGAACAUGAAAACAGGUGCUGCACGGCUGUCGUCAGCUCGUGUCGUGAGAUGUUGGGUUAAGUCCCGCAACGAGCGCAACCCUCGUCCUUAGUUGCUAGCAGGUUAAGCUGAGCACUCUAAGGAGACUGCCUUCGCAAGGAGGAGGAAGGUGAGGACGACGUCAAGUCAUCAUGGCCCUUAUGGCUAGGGCUACACACGUGCUACAAUGGGGCGUACAGAGUGUUGCGAUACCGCGAGGUGGAGCUAAUCACUUAAAGCGUCUCUCAGUUCGGAUUGGAGUCUGCAACUCGACUCCAUGAAGCUGGAAUCACUA